rnacentral:rRNA from 1 species
AUUGAACGCUGGCGGCAGGCCUAACACAUGCAAGUCGAGCGAGCGGCGGACGGGUGAGUAAUGUAUGGGGACUGCCCGAUAGAGGGGGAUAACUACUGGAAACGGUAGCUAAUACCGCAUACUAUCGGAUAACCCAUAUGGGAUUAGCUAGUAGGUGAGGUAAUGGCUCACCUAGGCGACGAUCCCUAGCUGGUCUGAGAGGAUGAUCAGCCUCCCUGGUACUGAGACACGGCCCAGAUACAUCCAUAAUCACCAUUAUAAAAUAUUACACAAUGUUCGCAAGCCUGAUUCAGCCAUGCCGCGUGUAUGAAGAACUCCCUAGGGUUUUAACGUACUUUCAGUCGGGAGGCGUUACCGACAGAAGAAGCACCGGCUAACUCCGUGCCAGCAGCCGCGGUAAUAC